rnacentral:sRNA from 1 species
GAAAACCUUAUUUAAUCACUCACACAUAUCGGCACAUCUUCCGGGGUGCCCAGCAGCUUUUCGCGAGGCUGUAACGCUUGGCGUUAUUCUGGGUCGGUAAGAUGGGAUAUGUGGACGCCUAAC